GUUUUUAGCACGAGCGCAGCGUUUUCGAGCAGAAACAAAACAUGACAGAAAACAGCACGAAACAGCUGGGGGCGACACUGAGUGAUAUCAAGAGGGGACUUGAGGAGAGAGAGAAGACACUGAAGGAGACGAGGAGGGCGAUGGAUGAGAUGAAGAUAUCUGUGCUAAGAGAGGUGGAAGAAAAUGAGAAGAGCUUCACUGCUCUGAUACGAUGCAUUGAGGAAACCC